AGAUCCAGCGUGUUCUGUGCCUGAUGGAAGGAACAGUGGUUUAAGAAGCAGAGUACUCACGCUAAAAUAACAGCUCUAUUGCUAAUUAAAGAAUUCUGUCAAGGAUGCUGGACCGAAGUUUAACAGUGCUGUUGGAAGGAUCAGUGGACCUUGGCUGUGAACCUCAGUGGUCAGCUUUUAUUCAACUGUACUUUUCUUCUGUUGAUUGUGUUCCAUAUUUCUACAUUGUUUGGAGUGCAUUGUAGCUGUCUUCAGACACACCAGAAGAAGGCAUUGGAUCCCAUUACAUAUGGUUGGCAGCCACCAUGUGCUUGCUGGGGAUUGAACUCAGGACUCUGGAAGAGGAAUUGGUGCUCUUAACUGCUAUUUAUCUCUCCAGCCUUGUUUCUACUUUUUAAAUUGUUUAUUAACUGAGGAGUGAAGCUAAUUCUUUAAAAAGGCUUUAUCACUACUGCCACAUAUAAGCCUUUAUUGUUGAAAUUCCUAAUUUAGAUUAAUAUUAUUAAAGUUCAUGUAUUACUGAAUAUCAUCAUGAACAUUCACAGACACAUAUUUUUUCAUUGUUACAAUCCAACAGUAUAUUCCUCAAUUUGUAUAUCUUAUUGCUUGGCAUUGUAACAGAUUCAUUGAUAGAAAUAUCUUCUCUUUGUUAAUAAAAUGGAAAGGAUUCAUAAGAUUAAUUACCUUGUUUCUAGAUGCUGCCAUGGAUACAUACAUACAUAUAUNNNNNNNNNNNNNNNNNNAUGUAGCUAUUUUGAACUAAUUAUGGCAUACUUACUGAUUUUCAUUUUUCUUUCUAAAGAAUGCUGUUUUGCUUCAUUUUCUGUGACUAACAAUAGCACAAUAUAGACUGUUAUAAAGAAGAGAGAUUCAUGUUGGCUUACACUUCAGGAGUUUUAAAAGCUUAUGGGCCAUAUCUAAAUGACAUUUUGGUUCUUACAGAAUUGCAGACACCAUAUAAUAUGAUACAGAUAAUGUGAAUUAGUUUAAUCUCUUUCUCUCUCAUUUUAUAAAGCUACUAGAAACAAACAUGAGUAUUAGCAUUCAGUGAUUCAACCUCCAUUCUGAUGACGAAAUCUCUUUCUAAACAUUUCCUAACAUUUCCACCUCUAUCAAAACUAUGUGAUGAAGUCUCAACACUGAUAGUGAAAUACCUUCCACUGGAAAUUAUAUCCCAUAUGAGUUUUGCAGGGACACGCCAUUUCCGAUUACACCAAACUACAUCGGCUAAGUGUUUUAGAACCUCAGAAUUAAUUCUGACUCUACCAAAUAGCAACUGUGAUCCGCGACAGUGAGUGCGAUCAUUUGACCGGUUGCUUUGGCUUUCUUUCUGUAAACGGAAAUGAUAUUCAUAGCCAUCUGUCGCAAAGUUGCUAUGAGGAUUAACUAAGCUAACAGACUAAUAUGUUGAGUGUCAGCACCGAGACAAACAGGGCUUAAAAUGUAAGUCCAGUGUAAGCAUAAACUAUCUCCACUUCCCCUCUUGAAAACAGUUCUGCUUUUUGAAAUACUGCUUAUUCUCGGCACAGAUUUUAUUUUUCUCGAUCUGUUCAUGCCUUGAAUUGUUUUUGUAAGACUGUAAUUUUUCCUCUGAUUUGAAUUUUACUGAAUCCCGAUUGCUGUUCAAGACUUCCUUUAAAGUUCUUAGUCUGGUAAAUCUGAAUUUCAUUUGCAUUCAUCUUCACAUCCCAGAUUUCCCCCUUCUUGAGCACUCGCUUUCAUUUCAAUGCAUCUGCAUUCUCUAAGGUCUAACUUAUCACAUGAAUCUUAUAUUUUCUUCUGUUCAAAAUUGUUUGCAAUGAUUGUUCUAACAUUGAGCGAUUGACACGGUGUCUACCUAGAGCCUGCACUGCUAUGGACUUGUGUUCAUAAUACUGGAAGGUAUUUUGAAUGUUACCCAUGGAGAAAGGUCAAUGCCAACCCAGUUACAAACUUUUCAGUCUACAAUGAUGAUCUGCCUGCAAGAUGUGCUAGUGCAACAGUAGCAAAAAGCUUGUGGAAGUAACCACGAAAUUACAUAACUUGAUUUAGGCCCACUCCAUGAAACUGAGACUGUUUGCAUCACAGAUUGGAUGGGCAAGAAGCUAAGACCAGAUAGGCCAACGACCUACACCAAUGACCAAAUAUUACUGUUCAGCUAAAGGAAAAUAGCCAUAACAUGAUUGUUACAGGCCUUCUGGUAUCGCCAUAGGUUUUAUGAUGUUACAAUAGAAAACAAAGAUUGGUACACAAAUAUCAGAAAUAGCAAUGACUCUCAAUUAAGGUAUAUACAAAGUGAUGUUAAAUUAAGGAUGAGCUAUGUUAUAAAAGAUAAAAUGAAAAAAUAUAUGGAGAGAUCUCUGGAAAAAUCUUUGUGGAUGACCACUACAACACUCCAGCGAGCUUUGAAAGAACUGGUGGUGACUACUAACAGCCAAUAGUGGAAAUAACCAGCCACAUUUUACAAUGCAAGAUGAGCCAUUGGACUUCGUUGACUUCAAUUUUACAAAUUUUGGUUUAAAAACAUAAUUAUUUCGAAAUAAUUUACCAUUACCUGGCUUACCUAUUAAAAUCUAUUUUUCAUGAUUUUGACAAUUUCUUUCGAUCCUUCUCUUAGUGAGCUUAAUGUUUUGUGGUUGAAUUUUCAAAGCACGAUUAUGUUUUUUAAACUUUGUUCUCAAUGGCCGGUAUCAAGCCGAAGAUGUUUGAAUUUAAGACUGAAGCAAGAUUGGAUGCUGAGAAGGUUGGUGGUUUUCAGAGCACAGAUAGAGAAUGUUAGUUCUGCCUGGAUCAUGUUCUGUUUUCUCAUUUUUGAUUUGAAGAAGCCAUACAUGGAUGUGCAUGUUUCAGUAUUUAACUUGCCAUUGGAUCUGUGUUUUGCCUUCUGCCCCUAUAUGUUUUAUUGCAAAGAGAGGGGAGAACAGGGGAUGGCAAAAAUAACCAUAGCUCUUCAAAGUCUUGACUUCUGGUUCACUUGGAGAUGCCCGAGUGAGGCUCUUAAGGAGGAAAAGAUAAAACCUUUCUGUGCUUCAGGAAAGGUGAUCCCUGUAUAAACCAUGGAAUAUUUCAUAGCUCAGUUGCAGAACUCAAGUUGUUGUUUCACACUCUAAGUGUCUUUCUCAGCACAUUUUAAUGUGCAUAUUUACCUGGAUAUAGCUGUGAUGUAAAGAAUAUAAUGAAUAAAUUAUUUAUUGGC
ensembl:lincRNA C630028M04Rik RIKEN cDNA C630028M04 gene